rnacentral:rRNA from 1 species
UACGUAGGGGGCAAGCGUUGUCCGGAUUUAUUGGGCGUAAAGAGCGUGUAGGCGGCCUGACAGGUCUGCUGUGAAAACUCGAGGCUCAACCUCGAGAUGUCGGCGGAAACCGUCUGGCUAGAGUCCGGAAGAGGAGAGUGGAAUUCCUGGUGUAGCGGUGAAAUGCGCAGAUAUCAGGAAGAACACCUAUGGCGAAGGCGGGUCUCUGGGCAAUUCCUGACGCUGAGGCGCGAAAGCGUGGGGAGCAAACGGG